GACCCAGUAGCGGACGCUCCGCGCCCGCGCCCUGUAACUCUUGACCCAGCGUGAUGCGGGAAUCCCUGGUUCGACUCCAGGCUGGGUCA